AUUGAACGCUGGCGGCAGGCCUAACACAUGCAAGUCGAGCGGAGCGGCGGACGGGUGAGUAAUGCCUAGGAAUCUGCCUGGUAGUGGGGGAUAACGUCCGGAAACGGGCGCUAAUACCGCAUACUAUCAGAUUAGCCUAGGUCGGAUUAGCUAGUUGGUGGGGUAAAGGCCUACCAAGGCGACGAUCCGUAACUGGUUUGAGCGGAUGAUCAGUCAACAUGGAACUGAGAAACGGACCAGACUCCUAAGGGAGGCAGCAGUGGGGAAUUGUGGAAAAUGGGGGAAACCCUGAUCAAGCCAUCCCGCGGGUAUGAUGAAGGUCUGCGGGUUGUAAAGUAAUUUUAGAAGAGAGGCGGUAUCGGCAGAAGAAGCACCGGCUAACUACGUGCCAGCAGCCGCGGUAAUAC
rnacentral:rRNA from 1 species